UAGUAAUUCAGACUCUCACUUCAACAGCUAUUUUCUUUGGCUGUUUUCAAAGAGCGGCUAAUUAUAUCCGGGAAGUAGAAGAACAUACUUUCAGGUUGGGGCUUUCACCCGUAUGCCUGUGUGUCAGCCUCACCUGAUGGCCAGAACUCAUCCUCUGACACUGCUAAGGUACAGAAGUCACCCACUCAGUCACCCUCACGUUGAACGCAGCAUGAACCUUACGUCUUGAAGACCACUGGUUACUGGAACCUAUACCUUCUUCCACUUCACUAUAUAUCAUGCGACUGAGUGAUACAUCUACUUCUUUCUCCUGCUCUGCUCUUUCUACAUGCUUAUAGAAAUUUCUUUUGGUCCCUGAGAUCAUGACUUUGCAUUAUUUACUAUUAAAUUUCAUCCUAUUUCUGUUACUGAGUCCUCAAGGUCAUGAAGAUCUUCCUGUAUGAUAAUCCAAUCCUCUUCUGCAUCGAUAGUAUCUUCCAGCUUUGUGUUGUCAGCAAAUUUCAUUAGCUCACUUAAUUUCUACUUUUUGUGCCAAGGUCAUUAAUGAAAAGAUUAAAUAAGAUUGUUCCAAAAGUGAAACUAGGAAAUUCCAUUAAUAAUUCUCCUCUCUCUUGACAGAGGACUCUUCAGUCAGUUUCUUAUAUGCUUUACAGUUCAUGUAUGUCUGGAUCUUUAUCUUAAUUAAUAUUUUACUAUGUAGUGUUAUAUAAAGUACUUUCAUGUGGUCCAGCAAAAUUAGGUCUAGUGCCUGUCUCUCUGUAAAAAAACAGGCAAUCACCUUAUCAAAUUUAUCAAAUAAUUCUGGAAUGAUUUAUUAUUGAUAAAUGAGUAUUUUUAUUCUAUUUCUAUAUUUGUCUUUAUCUUUUAUUAUGCAUUUUUCAAAUGUGUCCUAAAACCAUGAUUAUUAUUCAGUACAGACUUAUGUG